UCCUCGGGCAGCUGCCGCCCACCCAGUAGC
rnacentral:piRNA from 1 species